rnacentral:rRNA from 1 species
CUAAGGCUGAUGGCGACCGGCGCACGGGUGAGAAACACGUAUCCAACCUGCCGUCUACUCUUGGCCAGCCUUCUGAAAGGAAGAUUAAUCCAGGAUGGCAUCAUGAGUUCACAUGUCCGCAUGAUUAAAGGUAUUUUCCGGUAGACGAUGGGGAUGCGUUCCAUUAGAUAGUAGGCGGGGUAACGGCCCACCUAGUCAACGAUGGAUAGGGGUUCUGAGAGGAAGGUCCCCCACAUUGGAACUGAGACACGGUCCAAACUCCUACGGGAGGCAGCAGUGAGGAAUAUUGGUCAAUGGGCGAUGGCCUAAACCAGCCAAGUAGCGUGAAGGAUGACUGCCCUAUGGGUUGUAAACUUCUUUUAUAAAGGAAUAAAGUCGGGUAUGCAUACCCGUUUGCAUGUACUUUAUGAAUAAGGAUCGGCUAACUCCGUGCCAGCAGCCGCGGUAAUACGGAGGAUCCGAGCGUUAUCCGGAUUUAUUGGGUUUAAAGGGAGCGUAGAUGGAUGUUUAAGUCAGUUGUGAAAGUUUGCGGCUCAACCGUAAAAUUGCAGUUGGUACUGGAUGUCUUGAGUGCAGUUGAGGCAGGCGGAAUUCGUGGUGUAGCGGUGAAAUGCUUAGAUAUCACGAAGAACUCCGAUUGCGAAGGCAGCCUGCUAAGCUGCA